GGCGCCCCACCCCCGAGCGGGCGCGGCCGUCCCGCCCUUGGCCUUGGUCUCCAGGUGGCGCCAGGGAUAAACCCCGAACCUCACAGGGCUGAAGCCAGAGACGAAGUGCCCGCGGUGGAACAGGCUGGCUUCUCUGCGGCAGCUGCCCCAGGUAUCAGCCAGAACAUGGUGCUCAAGCCGAAGUCAGCCAAGAAAUUGCUCGUUUUCUUAGGAAAAUCAGUGUUGGCUCUUGUGGAGACUGUAGUUUUUGCUGUAAUCCCAAAACCACGGAAGAAUGUCGCUGGUGAAAUCGUACUUAUAACAGGCGCUGGAAGUGGACUCGGAAGGCUCCUAGCCCUCAAAUUUGCCCAGCUUGGGUCGGUGCUUGUGCUCUGGGAUAUCAGUCAGGAGAGUAAUGAGGAGACCUGCAAGAUGGCUGGGGAAGCUGGAGCCACGAGGGUCUAUGCCUAUACCUGUGACUGCAGCCGGAAGGAGGAGAUAUACAGAGUGGCCAAUCAGGUGAAGAAAGAAGUUGGUGAUGUUUCCAUCCUGAUCAACAAUGCCGGAAUUGUAACAGGUAGAAAGUUCAUGGACUGCCCGGAUGAGCUUAUAGAAAAGUCUCUUGACGUGAAUUUCAAAGCACAUAUAUGGACUUAUAAAGCCUUUCUACCUGCUAUGAUUGCUAAUAACCAUGGACAUUUGGUGUGCAUUUCAAGUUCAGCUGGAUUAAUUGGAAUAAAUGGACUGGCAGAUUACUGUGCAAGUAAAUUUGCAGCCUAUGGAUUUGCUGAAUCGAUAUUUUUAGAAUCAUUUACCAAGGGACAGAACGGGAUCAAAACCACUAUCGUGUGUCCAUUUUUUAUAAAAACUGGAAUGUUUGAUGGAUGUACUACUGGCUGUCCUUGUCUCUUACCGAUUCUGGAGCCAGAAUAUGCAGUCAGGAAGAUAGUAGAUGCUAUCCUGCAAGAAAACAUGUACCUGUAUAUGCCCAAGUUUAUAUACUUCAUGGUGGUUUUAAAAAGGACAAGUCUCCUGUUGGCUGACUGUGCCCUUCCUCGUCCUGCAGUGUGAACGUCAUGAUGGACAGGAUCAAAGUGUCAGGAGGGGCGAGCAGGAUGGAGAAGAUGGACAGUCUUAAUUGGGUCUUGCCAAAGCUCUGAGGGGCUAUUGCAUGGACUUCUCUCUUUUGUCCAGGAAAGAAAGGUCAAUGACCUCUUUGGACAGUGGGAGGAACAGAGUGUUGAGAGCCCAGUAGCACUGUGAGCAACAGGGCGAGGUUGCAAGGCAGGAUCAAGACUCCUCAAGGCUGCAUGCUUCCUGUCCAUCAUUACAGAGUGUAGUCAGGCCUUGAGACUGACAUGGAAGUGAGUGAAUAAUGUAAAUAAAGCAAAGAGAAACACAGAGAUCCUGGGCCGGUGUCCUCCCACGUGGUGGACGAGCCGAGUGACCACAAGACAGGGACAUUCAGCUUCUUGCCCCUCAAGCUGGGGCUGCUUUUGGGUGAGUACCUGGGGGCCUUUAAUUUAAUGGAUGGCUUCACUGGUGCCAGGAAGAAAAACUGAAGACCGAUUCUGUGGCUGACAUCCCCAGAUACCCACAGUUACACAACAUCUAUUUCAAUGAAGAAGUGUCUUUGUUGACAGAAUGUACCUGGAGACCACAAGCACCAGUCUGCUGUCUAGACUAGUAUUUGCAACCAGUGCCUCUGAAAAUAAUGUUGCACUCUGUUUUUCUGUUGAGUUUUUUUUAAUUAAAAAAAAAAAAAGUCCA